UUUACACAUGCAAGUCGAACGGCGGCACGGGAGCUUGAUCCUGGUGGCGACUGGCGAACGGGUGAGUAAUGCGUCGGAACGUGCCCAGUAAUGGGGGAUAACGCGACGAAAGUCGCGCUAAUACCGCAUACGCCCUAAGGGGGAAAGCGGGGGAUCGCAAGACCUCGCGUUAUUCGAGCGGCCGACGUCUGAUUAGCUAGUUGGUGGGGUAAAGGCCCACCAAGGCGACGAUCAGUAGCGGGUCUGAGAGGAUGAUCCGCCACACAGGGACUGAGACACGGCCCAGACUCCUACGGGAGGCAGCAGUGGGGAAUUUUGGACAAUGGGGGCAACCCUGAUCCAGCCAUUCCGCGUGAGUGAAGAAGGCCUUCGGGUUGUAAAGCUCUUUCAGCUGGAACGAAACGGUGCGCUCUAACAUAGCGUGCUAAUGACGGUACCAGCAGAAAAAGCACCGGCUAACUACGUGCCAGCAGCCGCGGUAAUACGUAGGGUGCGAGCGUUAAUCGGAAUUACUGGGCGUAAAGCGUGCGCAGGCGGAUUGUUAAGCAAGACGUGAAAUCCCCGGCCUUAACCUGGAAAUGGCGUUUUGAACUGGCAGUCUAGAGUGCGUCAGAGGGGGGUGGAAUUCCACGUGUAGCAGUGAAAUGCGUAGAGAUGUGGAGGAACACCGAUCGCGAAGGCAGCCCCCUGGGAUGCCACUGACGCUCAUGUACGAAAGCGUGGGUAGCAAACAGGUUUAGAUACACUGGUAGUCCACGCCCUAAACGAUGUCAACUGGUUGUUGGGGGAGUGGAAUCCCUUAGUAACGAAGCUAACGUGUGAAGUUGACCGCCUGGGGAGUACGGUCGCAAGACUAAAACUCAACGGAAUUGACUGGGACCCGCACAAGCGGUGGAUGAUGCGGAUUAAUUCGAUGCAACGCGAAGAACCUUACCUACCC
rnacentral:rRNA from 1 species